ACCAGGAGCACAGCUGGGUAGCUAAGUCGGGAAUGGAUAAACGCUGAAAGCAUCUAAGCGUGAAGCCAACCUCAAGAUGAGAUUUCCCAUAGCGUAAGCUAGUAAGAUCCCUUGAAGAACACAAGGUUGAUAGGUCGGGGGUGUAAGCAUGGUAACAUGUUCAGCUGACCGAUACUAAUAGAUCGAGGGCUUGACCAA
rnacentral:rRNA from 1 species